CGUCCCGGAAACUACGGCCUACGGCAGGCAGCGCCAUUUUGACACUGUUGAAAGUUGGCAUGUAGAAGUGGAAUGUUGAAUAAAAAUUGAAAAUGAAAUGGGGCGCUGGCUUGGCAAGAUAAAAUAUGCUGUUUUAAAGUAGAAAUGUUACAUAUGCAGAUAUAUUAUAUCUAUAUCGGGAAUCCAUAAUCAAUCCCUGGAAUCUAUAUUUAACAUGUAUCCUGGACAACAACUAUGGAAUGGGGAAUGUCCAAUAAAAUUAUGAAAAAUCAAAUAAACAAAUGACCCAUGGUCACAACAAUCAAAUGAAAAAUGACCAUUACAGCUCCACUAUGUAAAUGUAUCCUCGACAACUAAGGAAUGUUAAAAGCAGCAACCACGGUCAAAUCACAGUGUAUGAAUACAUCUAAAUGGAUUUUUGGUUAUUAAGUAAUGCAGACAUGGAGUUUGGUGUGCUGGUUACCACAAAAGCUUUUCUGCUGAAGAUGCAUCUACAGACGUCUUCUUUAUGGAUUCGUAGAAAUACUCUGCUGUAUAGCGUUCAAAAUCUUGAUCUAAUGUAUAAAUGUAGUAAUCUAUAGUCUUGCUAAUAUAUAAUGUUUGUAA